UACGAACCGUGCAAACGUUGUUCGGAAUCACUGGGCUUAAAGGGCGCGUAGGCGGGCCAGCCAGUCUGUGGUGAAAGCCUCCAGCUUAACUGGAGAAGUGCCGUGGAUACUGCUGGCCUCGAGGAGGAUAGGGGCAUCUGGAACGGUCGGUGGAGCGGUGAAAUGCGUUGAUAUCGGCCGGAACUCCGGUGGCGAAGGCGAGGUGCUGGGUCCUUUCUGACGCUGAUGCGCGAAAGCCAGGGGAGCAAACGGG
rnacentral:rRNA from 1 species